rnacentral:lncRNA from 1 species
AGUGUUGAUGGGUACACUCCAUUAAACAAAUGCGUGUUCUGUACGUUUGCCAAGACAUGCAUGAAGAAAGCCUUGAAAUAAGAAUGGGGAAAUGCAUUAUGGGUUGGAAAUUCCCGCUUGGGACAAGGGAGGAUAGAUAUAACACAUGGAUUUGAAUUCCUGGCAGGCUAAGCAAGCAGGUUUGAGAUUCCCAUCAGAGGCAACGCAACAGAGUGAUGUGCAUAUUUAUUCCCUGGGAUAUUAAAUUUUCUCAUGCAGGUUUGCUUCCUGUUCUUCCAGUUUCACCCCAUACCUGGCAUAACUUGGCCUAUAUAACUGCUGUGGCAUUAGGGGUGUGCCACUGUAGGGGGUGAAACGUAAUUGUUGCAAAUUUAUUCAGUCUUAAAAUGUGGUUUUGGGUGUGAGGAAUUCAAUUCUGCUAUUAUUUUUGUGACUGGGCAACUUUUAACUACAAUUCCUGUUUAACAAUCCCUUCCUCUUUCCAGGGAAUUCUGGGAACUGUAUUUCCGCGAGGGGAAUAGGGAUCUCCUAACAAUUGUAAAUCAACAUUGACAAGCUACAGAUCCUGGGAUUUUUGUUGUUGUUAUGCGUGUGGGAGCCAUGAGUGUUUAAAGCGGUAAUGUACUGCCUUAAAUGUAUAGGGCAAAUGCAGCCUUUGUCUGCUGAAACUAGGGUGUUUCUGUGUCCAGACUGUCUUCUCUUUUGAAAGUGUUUUGUAUUUGAAAGGUUGCCUGCUCCCAAGUCCAGCUUAAAGAUAAAGAUUAAAGCACAGUUAUCUGGCUGCUGUGGUUGUUUACUUCUCUCUUCCUCAGCACAGGGUGGGAAGAUUGCCAGUGUUGCUUUUUAUCAGACGAUGCUUGACCAAAUUAGCUGUGGCGUUUUUCUCCCUCUGUUUGUGAUAACAUAUUGACCCAGAACCACAGCAGUAAAUGAGGAACAGCCUCGGACGUUGAAAUCCGGGAGUCUCGAUUUAAAUUCUCUUAUCAUCUGGAGUGAUUUAAAUGCAACGGCAUAAAUAAAGCCACUUUUUCUUUUUGCCCGUCUGGGGUUGGAUUAUAUACAUAUUUCGUUUAACCGAAAUAGAUCAGAGGUCAUCCAUUCUAACCAUUUAUACUCAGACUGGUGGGUGGAGUUGUCACAUGAAGUUGACAUAGGCAAUUAAGAAGAAUUUUUUUUUAAAGGAUUCUUCAGUUAAUCAGGAAGUAGAGUUUACCUGAAAUGGAUCCGGAUGAUCAGUUUUUUCAUUAUUAUGGGAUAAUGGUCCCUUGGAACAACUUUGUGAAGAGGUGGCAAUAGUGCUGGCUGCAGGGGUUUUUGUGGGGGCAAUUUGUCCUCAAGAUGGCUCCCCCUUUUUUCAGCCCUCUGAAAAAGAGGGUUGCAAGACAGUUGCAGCAAACUGUCUCCUACCAGGCCCAGUGAAUACCAUUUCCCAGAGGGAGACCCCAAGGCCUCUUAAGUCUCUUGACACUUCUCACUCUUUGCAUGCUCAGAGAGGGGAGGUGAACAAGUGGUUACAGUAAUUAGGGGGUGAGGGAGAGCAAUAGGGCCAGGAGCAGGGAGAACUUCAGGUGCUAGAUGAUCCUGGCCCAAGGCAGAACCUGGUUCUGAUAAGACUGGCAGCAUCUGGGCUAUAUAAGCAGAGGCAGCAAUGUGCAUCAGAGAUGCUUUCGUUUUCCCUGUUUGGGAAGAUAUUAAUGUGAGAAGCAGCCCAGAGGAAGAAGACGCUUGUCUGUGUGAAACUUGCAAGUAAGCUGCUAUGUUCCCACUGUUUUCACUGCAAAUCCCCCUGAAAAACAUUGCUUUGGAAAUAAAUGGGUGGAACUCCUGCCUUGGCAAUAAAAAAACGAAAGAAACAACCACUGCAAAAAAAGCACGUACUACGUUGUCAUCUCCUGGAAGAUGGUGGUGAUUAAUUUUAAGUGAUAUUCCUGUCUAGUAGUGGAGCUCCCAACCCCCGAUGUGGAUGCAGCUUGUCCCAUUUUAAAGAAGCAGUGAUUUAUGCCAGCCAGCCCACGUCUGUGGCCUCUUCAAAAGGUCAAGUGUGAUGGCAGCCAACUGUGAAAUAUGAAACCACAACCAAUCCUCCACCUGUAGUUUGUGCUGUGUGCUUUUCAUCCCCAGAAGCACCUUUGCCACAAGCAUAAAUCCACAACCCCGCUGUGAGGACAGCAAUUAUUCUCAACUUAUUUUCCUUUUCCACACAGUGUCAAUAUGCUGGUCCCAAUCUGAGGCAAGGUACAGCUGGAAUCAAUAAAUCAAUCACUAGUUUGCAGUUGAUUUAGUGGGUGGUGUUCUGUUGCGUUUUUUAAAGAAAAAACAAACCACCAACCCUUAGAAGGGUUUUAGAAACUUGAUUGCCAGCACUGCAGUUAAUUUAUUGGCUAAUAGAAAUGCCUUUUCAGAACUGACCUUGAACAGUUAAAAAUAUACAGUAUAGGUUUCCUGGAAAAAUCAUACAAGCAAUGCACCAGUUUAAAAGCCAAAAUCAGUAAGAUGCCAAUUGCAACCAUCUCAAAAUAUAACAGUCUCGUUAAUGAAAAAUUAACCAAAUGUUAAAGCUUCAGAAUUUUAAAUCGCUCACUAAAAGCCUCUAAGAACAGAAAGGUCUUUGAAGACACCCAAAGACCAGCGAUGAGGGAGCCUAGUGAACUUUGAAAGGGGUCUCCUUCUGUAGCUUUGGCACACCUGUCCAGAAGGCCUUGUCUUAUCCAUUUGCCCCUCUUAACUGGAUGGUGAUCAGAGUCUUUGAACGUGAUCUUAAUUGUCAGGCAGGUCCAUAUGAGAGUGGACCAGCCUUCCCUAACCUGGUGCCCUCCAUAAUGUUUUGGAUUACAACCCCUAUCCGAAACAUUGGCCGGGGGAUGGGGGAGGCAGGUUGGGGGAUGCUAGAGUAGGAGAUUCUGACACAAACAUGGUCCCAGACUGUUUAAGGCUUUAAAGGCCAACACCAGGUCUUCUAAUUGAGCCUGGGAACAAAAAGAAAGUCUGUGUAGGUGGAGCAAGAUCUGAGUAAUAUGAUCUGUACCCGUUCCGUUAGUAAAACAGCAAUACUUCUCUUUUGCUUCAUUACCGUAUCCAACAGUUUGGUUAAUAAUAUUAUGUUGAGUUCUGAAACCCAUGGCAAGCAAGGCAACACCUUUUAUUGGAACAGCAAAUGUUUUAAAUGCUGGAAGUGGGAGUUGGUGCCUCUCCAGUGAGGUAUUGGAGGCGAAAGUAAGUCAUGAUGCAGUUUCAUGCUAACUAGGGACGUGAUUCAGCCUUGGUUAAGUGCUUUAGGGCUGCAAUUCUCUCCGCGAAUGCUUGGGAGUAAGUUAGCGCAGGAGCUUGAGGCAAAAAUAAUUUUGGCUAUCAAAAGUUUUUCAGCCACAUUCCGAUGCAAUAGCAAGCCUUGGUUUAAUGUCAUGAGGACAAGCCACAGCAAGCCUUGGGCUUGUGCCCUCUUUCUGGGUGUGACUGCGAGGCAGAGUCGAAAACUUUUCUUUCUGCUGCUUGUGUUGACCAUAGUUGCUGGAGCUGCCUUGCUUCAACAAACCGUGGCUGAGAUCAGCUACAGUUUGUCUGGUAGGAACAUCACACUAAACAAGGUUACUCUGAAGUGGAAAUGGAAGUGCAUUCACCUGAGGGAAGGGGAAGGACCCUGAGGCAUGAAAAAGGUGCCUUCUGGGUAAUUCUCUGGCGGGUCCAGUAGCUAAGUGGGGCUUUUAAGGGAACACCACCAGCCACUCUUGUGUCAAAUGAGCACACUGUGUUGCUUGUACCAACCUGGCCCAUGUGUGGAUUCAAAUUCUCUUUUUCUUUCUACUUUGUUAAUUAAUCCCUUCAGCUUGUUUCACUUGAUUAAUGCAAUUUGGAGUUCUUCUUUCACAGCGAUUUGCCCAGCAAGCAUUGAUAAAGUUAUGAAGUCUUAAUAGCUACCGCAGGGACCUUCAUGACAAGAGAGGAACUGGUACAAGAAGCUCCCUGCUGGCGCUUUCCAGGCAGUGAAGUUAGACUCGCCAUUGUCUUGUAAGAGUCUUAGGGGUAGCACUAUUGCUGGAGAUGCAGUCCAUCGUCACUCAGGCGCGGGGAGAUGCAAGUCUUCAGACAGCCAUGAGCUCACUUCUUGUCUGGUUUUUCCUUACGAACACUGAAAAAAUGACCCAUGUUCGAUGGUAGUUUUCUAUAAAUUGUACUGCACACC